CCUCUUUCUUUUUUCUCCCACUUCUCAUCGAGUAAAUCCAUUUCUCUUCUCUUCCCCAUGAAUAUAGAUUAACCACAUCUGAUUUUAGUUAUUCUCAACUGAAGAUCUCAGUUCUUUAAUCAUCAUCGUCGUCAUCAUCAUCAGUUUAGGGUUUCGAUUUCAGUUUUAUCAUCACCAGUUUUAGGGUUUUCUCUAAUCUGUUAUCAAAUCAUCUAAUCUUUGAAGAAUUGAUCUUCAAUCGUCUGUUAAGCGAGUUUAGGUUUUCGAUUUCACAGAUCUCUAGGUGUGGUUUGGUCGGACGAUCUAUCCAAGUUGAAGAUAUAUGUAUCUCAAGGGUGUUACCUCCUACCCAAUGACUUCAAUAAAUUUAUAGUGCACAUUGUCAAGGAGCUCAAAUUGUUGAUGAUGCACAACAGGACUUUUUGUGCUGAGAUUGCACACAACUUUUUUAUAAUAAAGAGGAAGGAUAUUGUUGAGCGCGCAUAUCAGUCGUAACUUGUAUGUCUGUGUUUCCAACAAGACAUCUAGGUUGAUCUUGCAUCAAAUAUCUUGGUAGACUUGCCUGACACAGUUGGGAGUUUACGGUAUCUUAAGGCUCUGCAUCUGAGUAAUAAUGGCCUCAAAUCCCUUCCUUCGACGCUAUUCAAAAUGUGCACCCAUCUCUCGACUCUUGAUCUUCAUAAUACAGAAAUCACAAUUGAUAUUCUCAGUCAGUUUGAAGGGUGGGAAAGUUUUGAUGAGCGUCGUAGAUUAAAGCAUCAAAAGCAACUGUAUUUCUGAGUUGGAAGUUCUGGUGUGUUUGAUGAAGGUGCUGAUAAGUAUUAAAAAGUUUACAUUCUCAGUAUAUCUUGCGUCUAUCUUGUGGGGCUGUAGCUGGGUUGUUUGGUCAGACAUUUACAUACCGGCUAAAUGUUGUUAGGAGGCGGAUGCAGGUGAAGUACUGCGUAGCUGCUUCUUUCUUGGUAGAGAGAUCUUUUAAGAGCAAUGGCCAUUGGAUUGAAGAUGCAUAGCUGUUGUCGCGUUGGAUUCCAUCAGCUUUGUGAAUCCUACUACAGAUGCAGCAGUCUGCGGCAUGAGAAGGAUUUUAUGUGAGUCGUGUUUCUGUUCCUGUUAGCAUGUGACAUGGGAAAACUUAGAUAUAAGUUAUGAACUUAGAAAGUUUUUUAAGUUUCUAUGAACUGAACUUUGGAACUUAGUAAAUUUCUAUCUAUGUAUUCCCUCAGAAUUUGAUACUUAACAAAAAAAAAUUGGUACUUAGCAAAAUUUGUGUUUUUCAUAUGAAUGUGUAGAUAUGAAUUGAUUGAGUAUAGUA